rnacentral:tRNA from 1 species
GAGAGAGGUCUGGGACACAAAGAACUGCUAAUUCUUUCCUCCAUGGUUCAAAUCCAUGGCUAACUCA